rnacentral:rRNA from 1 species
GGACUACCCGGGUAUCUAAUCCUGUUUGAUCCCCACGCUUUCGCACCUCAGCGUCAGUCUGCGUCCAGGUGGUCGCCUUCGCCACUGAUGUUCUUCCAGAUAUCUACGAAUUUCACCUCUACACCUGGAAUUCCACCACCCUCUCCGAGACUCUAGUUUGUCAGUUUCGAAUGCACUUCCAUGGUUAAGCCUUGGGUUUUCACAUCCGACUUGACAUACCGCCUACGCGCGCUUUACGCCCAGUAAAUCCGAACAACGCUUGCACCCUCUGUAUUACCGCGGCUGCUGGCAC